rnacentral:rRNA from 1 species
UACGUAGGUGGCGAGCGUUGUCCGGAUUUACUGGGUGUAAAGGGCGCGUAGGCGGGAAUGCAAGUCAGAUGUGAAAUCCAUGGGCUUAACCCAUGAACUGCAUUUGAAACUGUAUUUCUUGAGUGUCGGAGAGGUAGACGGAAUUCCUAGUGUAGCGGUGAAAUGCGUAGAUAUUAGGAGGAACACCAGUGGCGAAGGCGGUCUACUGGACGAUAACUGACGCUGAGGCGCGAAAGCGUGGGGAGCAAACA